GGGUAACGGCCCACCUAGUCUUCGAUGAUAGGGGGUUUUGAGAGGAAGGUCCCCCACAUUGGAACUGAGACACGUUCCAAACUCCUACGGGAGGCAGCAGUGAGGAAUAUUGGUCAAUGGGGCGAGAGCCUGAACCAGCCAAGUAGCGUGAAGGAUGACUGCCCUAUGGGUUGUAAACUUCUUUUAUAAAGGAAUAGAGUCGGGUAUGCAUACCCGUUUGCAUGUACUUUAUGAAUAAGGAUCGGCUAACUCCGUGCCAGCAGCCGCGGUAAUACGGAGGAUCCGAGCGUUAUCCGGAUUUAUUGGGUUUAAAGGGAGCGUAGAUGGAUGUUUAAGUCAGUUGUGAAAGUUUGCGGCUCAACCGUAAAAUUGCAGUUGAUACUGGAUAUCUUGAGUGCAGUUGAGGCAGGCGGAAUUCGUGGUGUAGCGGUGAAAUGCUUAGAUAUCACGAAGAACUCCGAUUGCGAAGGCAGCCUGCUAAGCUGCAACUGACAUUGAGGCUCGAAAGUGUGGGUAUCAAACAGGAUUAGAUACCCUGGUAGUCCACACGGUAAACGAUGAAUACUCGCUGUUUGCGGAUAUACGGCAAGCGGCCAAGCGAAAGCGUUAAGUAUUCCACCUGGGGAGUACGCCGGCAACGGUGAAACUCAAAGGAAUUGACGGGGGCCCGCACAAGCGGAGGAACAUGUGGUUUAAUUCGAUGAUACGCGAGGAACCUUACCCGGGCUUAAAUUGCAGAUGAAUUACGGUGAAAGCCGUAAGCCGCAAGGCAUCUGUGAAGGUGCUGCAUGGUUGUCGUCAGCUCGUGCCGUGAGGUGUCGGCUUAAGUGCCAUAACGAGCGCAACCCUUGUUGUCAGUUACUAACAGGUCAUGCUGAGGACUCUGACAAGACUGCCAUCGUAAGAUGUGAGGAAGGUGGGGAUGACGUCAAAUCAGCACGGCCCUUACGUCCGGGGCUACACACGUGUUACAAUGGGGGGUACAGAGGGCCGCUACCACGCGAGUGGAUGCCAAUCCCAAAAACCUCUCUCAGUUCGGACUGGAGUCUGCAACCCGACUCCACGAAGCUGGAUUCGCUAGUAAUCGCGCAUCAGCCACGGCGCGGUGAAUACGUUCCCGGGCCUUGCACA
rnacentral:rRNA from 1 species